GGGCCUUCGCCUCCUGCCUCCCUCCACCUCCUCCACCACCUCAGUCCCCAUACCCCCUCUCCACCCUGUCUUCUCUCUCAUCGCUCAGCCCUGCCACCUCUCACACUCAGAGACUCUACAUCAGCCCGCAGUCGCCGUUCUACUGAUGGUGAGACUCUGCAGUGAGGAGGGAUUUAAACUGUGCUUAAUCAAAUGUUCUUCAAAGUCUGCCUCGUCGAGGAGAUACAUACUGUCUCUGAAGACUUUUUGUGUCCUACUAAUAUAAGAAAGGUUUCCAAGGAGACAGAGUAAAGGCGAUUUGAUUUUAUGCCCUAAUUCAGUAUAACUAGUUUUAUGUGACAUUAUUUGGGGUUUAUUUAUUUAUUUUUGCGCUUCAGAGCAUGUUAUCUUAUGUUUUUUGUCUUUUUUCUUUAUGCCCUCCAGUCAUUUUCUGCCAGAGGCGCUGCCUCGCCUGAAGGUCAGAAGUUAGAGGAAGAUCUACUGAAGGAAAAGUGCGAGGAAGAAAAGGCAGGCUGUGUUUCUUACAAUUACGCUGCACACGGUGUAAUUGUAUUGUUAAUGUGCUUUUUUAAAUUAGAGCCUCUGUUAUGUUAACUUUUGUCCUCCUGUUAUGUGGCGAAGGAGGGGGCAGAGUCACUGUUUUAUCAUCCUCUUCUUCUUCUAGAGGAAUUUUUGUAGCUGCUGACUUCCUUCACAAUCCGACUCUAAAUAUGAAGCUCCAAAACAAAAGACCAUUUUUGUCUUUUCUUAUUUUGUGUGAGCUGCUUUGCAUCCAGGCUGAUUUUAAGCACGAGGAAGAAGGAGGCUCUGCAACAACUUUUGUUGUUGGGCUUUUAGUCUCAUUUAAACUGCAUUCAGCACAAACAGAGGCACAGUUAGUUUCUCAUGGUUUUGUUUCACAUUCUAGUUGUUUAGUGUUCAUAAAGAAAAGUUCAUUUAUCAGUAAUUUCAAAAAAACAACAAUGGGGCGGGGGGUCCUUUUAAAGCGUUGAUCUAUCCAAAAGCAGCCGCCUGAG
ensembl:lncRNA